rnacentral:rRNA from 1 species
AUUGAACGCUGGCGGCAGGCCUAACACAUGCAAGUCGAACGAGUGGCGGACGGGUGAGUAAUGUCUGGGAAACUGCCUGAUGGAGGGGGAUCACUACUGGAAACGGUAGCUUAUACCGCAUUCCAUCAGAUGUGCCCAUAUGGGAUUAGCUUGUUGGUGGGGUAAGGGCUCACCAAGGCGACGCUCCCUAGCUGGACCGAGAGGAUGACCAGCCACACUGGAACUGAGACACGGACCAGACUCCAACGGGAGGGAGCAGUGGGGAAUAUUGCACAAUGGGCGCAAGCCUGAUGCAGCCAUGCCGCGUGUAGGAAGAAGGCCUUCGGGUUGUAAAGUACUUUCAGCGGGGAGGCGUUACCCGCAGAAGAAGCAACGGCUAACUCCGUGCCAGCAGCCGCGGUAAUUC